GAGGGMAAGYCUGGUGCCAGCAGCCGCGGUAAUUCCAGCUCCAGUAGCGUAUAUUAAAGUUGUUGCAGUUAAAAAGCUCGUAGUUGGAUUUGUGGUGUCUUGUUUUUUUAUUUGCUUUUUUUGGUCUCUUUUUCAUUGUUUUUAACUUUGAAUCUGAGACUUGGAAGCGAGGACACCAUCCUUGACAGGUUUGAAAGUGAUAUUAUAUCACCGCAAACAUUGUCAUCCUUUACUUUGAAAAAAUUGGAGUGAUUCAAGCAGGCAAGAAUUAUAAUUUUAAUUUUAAUUUAACUUUGCUUCUGCACAUGUUAGCAUGGAAUAAUGCAAGAGGACUUGGGUUUUCUCUUUCAUUGGUUUCAGGAAACCGAGUAAUGAUUGAUAGGGACAGUUGGGGGUGCUCGUACUCGACGGCCAGAGGUGAAAUUCUUGGAUUCGUUGAAGACGAACAACUGCGAAAGCAUUCACCAAGGAUGUCUUCUUUAAUCAAGAACGAAAGUUGGGGGAUCGAAGAUGAUCAGAUACCGUCGUAGUCCCAACCAUAAACGAUGCCGACCAGGGAUCAGCGAGCGUUGACUUGGCGUUCUCGUUAUUUUCUUUUUUGAGAAUUCGUAGAUUUUGCCAACCUCAUUAAUUUGAAACGACCUCGUUGGCACCUUGCGAGAAAUCACCAGUCUUUGGGCUCCGGGGGGAGUAUGGUCGCAAGGCUGAAACUUAAAGGAAUUGACGGAAGGGCACAACCAGCAGUGGAGCCUGCGGCUUAAAUUGACUCAACACGGGGAAACUUACCAGGUCCAGACAUCAUAAGGAUUGACAGAUUGAAGHUCUUUCUUGAUUYKRUGG
rnacentral:rRNA from 1 species